UUGCUGAGAGUAUCCUGAAACGGCCCAGCCCGAGCCCAGCGCGGCGUUCUGGACUGCGGCUCCCUCAGAGAGGGCGCGCGGGUUCACCAGGAAACCCCCUGAGAGGUUAGCAACCACCUGGAUUCUUUGAAGUUCACCCAUCUAUUCAACUGCCUCCAGAGAGCUCAGUUCCAAGUACACCUGAAACUCAACGUUUUCAAAGGUGUACAGCGGGGAGCUGUAUUGGAAGUGGGGACUCUAAGCAACGUUCAUGUGGAAUUCUGGCAUAUGAACCAUCAGUCCCUCUGAUUUAUUAACUAUCACCCAUUAUGCAGGUGAGAAAUUACUGCUGAGGGACAUCCUUGGAAAAGACCACCAUACGUGUAAGUGAGGAAUGACUCCAGAGGGACUCCCAAGGACAAAUCCACUGUACUUGCAGAAACAAUUAUGUUACAACCACACAAGCAGGGUUUUGCAACAGAAUGGCCUUGAAAUAGAAUCCUGCCC